ACUCAGCGGUCAGUGGUCACUCAGGGGUCACUCAGGGGUCACUCAGGGGUCAGUGGUCACUCAGGGGUCACUCAGGGGUCACUCAGGGGUCACUCAUGGUCACUCAGUGGUCACUCAGGGUCAGUGGUCACUCAGUGGUCAGUGGUCACUCAGGGGCAACUCAGUGGUCACUCAGUGGUCAGUGGUCACUCAGUGGUCACUCAGGGGUCAGUGGUCACUCAGUGGUCACUCAGUGGUCACUCAGGGGUCAGUGGUCACUCAGUGGUCACUCAGUGGUCACUCAGUGGUCACUGGUCACUCACUGGUCAGUGGUCACUCAGGGGUCACUCAGUGGUCAGUGGUCACUCAGUGGUCACUCAGUGGUCAGUGGUCACUCAGCGGUCACUCAGGGUCAGUGGUCACUCAGUGGUCACUCAGUGGUCACUCAGUGGUCAGUGGUCACUCAGCGGUCACUCAGUGGUCACUCAGGGUCAGUGGUCACUCAGUGGUCAC